AGAGGUUUGAUUCUGGCUCAGGAUGAACGCUAGCUACAGGCUUAACACAUGCAAGUCGAGGGGCAGCAUUGGGGUAGCAAUACUCAGAUGGCGACCGGCGCACGGGUGAGUAACACGUAUCCAACCUGCCGCUUACUCGGGGAUAGCCUUUCGAAAGAAAGAUUAAUACCCGAUGGUAUAAAGAGUUCGCAUGUUCUCUUUAUUAAAGAAUUUCGGUAAGCGAUGGGGAUGCGUUCCAUUAGAUAGUUGGCGGGGUAACGGCCCACCAAGUCUACGAUGGAUAGGGGUUCUGAGAGGAAGGUCCCCCACAUUGGAACUGAGACACGGUCCAAACUCCUACGGGAGGCAGCAGUGAGGAAUAUUGGUCAAUGGACGAGAGUCUGAACCAGCCAAGUAGCGUGAAGGAUGACUGCCCUAUGGGUUGUAAACUUCUUUUAUAAGGGAAUAAAGUGAGGGACGUGUCCCUUUUUGUAUGUACCUUAUGAAUAAGGAUCGGCUAACUCCGUGCCAGCAGCGGC
rnacentral:rRNA from 1 species